UACGUAGGUGGCAAGCGUUGUCCGGAAUUAUUAGGCGUAAAGCGCGCGCAGGCGGUCCUUUAAGUCUGAUGUGAAAGCCCCUGGCUUAACCGGGGAAGUGCACCCGAAACUGGGUAGCUAGAGUGCAAAAGAGGGUCGCGGAAUUCCCAGUGUAGAGGUGAAAUUCGUAGAUAUUGGGAGGAACACCGGUGGCGAAGGCGGCGACCUGGGUUGACACUGACGCUGAGGCGCGAAAGCGUGGGGAGCAAACAGG
rnacentral:rRNA from 1 species